rnacentral:rRNA from 1 species
CAGUAGCCGCGGUAAUACGAAGGGGGCUAGCGUUGUUCGGAAUUACUGGGCGUAAAGGGCGCGUAGGCGGCCAUUCAAGUUAGAUGUGAAAGCCCUGGGCUCAACCUAGGAAUUGCAUUUGAUACUGUUUGGCUUGAGUUCGGGAGAGGUGAGUGGAAUUCCCAGUGUAGAGGUGAAAUUCGUAGAUAUUGGGAAGAACACCGGUGGCGAAGGCGGCGACCUGGUCCUUGACUGACGCUGAGGCGCGAAAGCGUGGGGAGCAAACAGGAUUAGAUACCCGAGUAGUCCCUGUCUCUUAUAU